rnacentral:misc_RNA from 1 species
GCAAACUUGGUCAUUUAGAGGAAGUAAAAGUCGUAACAAGGUCUCCGUUGGUGAACCAGCGGAGGGAUCAUUAUAGAGUUGCAAAACUCCAAACCCCUUGUGAACAUUACCUCUCUAGUUGCUUCGGCAGGCGAUUCCAGGGCGGAAUCGUAGCCUCUCUUCGCGGAGGGCGCCUGCCGGAGGACCAUUUUAUCAAACUCUUUUUGUAAUAUUAGUGAAUAUCUGAGCUUCUAUAACAAAUAAGUUAAAACUUUCAGCAACGGAUCUCUUGGUUCUGGCAUCGAUGAAGAACGCAGC